CCUACGGGAGGCAGCAGUGAGGAAUAUUGGUCAAUGGACGAGAGUCUGAACCAGCCAAGUAGCGUGAAGGAUGACUGCCCUAUGGGUUGUAAACUUCUUUUAUAUGGGAAUAAAAUGUUCCACGUGUGGGAUUUUGUAUGUACCAUAUGAAUAAGGAUCGGCUAACUCCGUGCCAGCAGCCGCGGUAAUACGGAGGAUCCGAGCGUUAUCCGGAUUUAUUGGGUUUAAAGGGAGCGUAGGUGGAUUGUUAAGUCAGUUGUGAAAGUUUACGGCUCAACCGUAAAAUUGCAGUUGAAACUGGCAGUCUAGAGUACAGUAGAGGUGGGCGGAAUUCGUGGUGUAGCGGUGAAAUGCUUAGAUAUCACGAAGAACUCCGAUUGCGAAGGCAGCUCACUGGACUGCAACUGACACUGAGGCUCGAAAGUGUGGGUAUCAAACAGGAUUAGAUACCCCAGUAGUC
rnacentral:rRNA from 1 species